UGCGGCCGCGUCGCUGCUUCUUCGCUUCUGGCACGCGAUCGCGUCGUCCAUGCGAUCGUGUGGAUACCAGUUUCUGCAAAACUCCGUUUCGCACUUUCCUUCCAUUUUUGUACGUUUCCUUUUCCAUCCUUUAAGUCAUUCUGCCUUAGAAAAUCUGAAACUACUCAACACACUAAUCAUGGCAUCGAAUGGAAAUAAAGGUAAUUAAAAUAAUUAAUUCUAAAGCUUAGGAAACAUGUUUUUCACAUACAUCACAUAAUAAGGAAGGAAAAGUAAAACCAUGCAAUUAAUAUGAAUAAGUGGGUGAAGGAUUGAAUAAAUCACUCAAACUAAGCACAAAAUAACUCAUGAAAUAUGGGUUUAUC
rnacentral:lncRNA from 1 species